rnacentral:rRNA from 1 species
GAUGAACGCUGGCGGCGUGCCUAAUACAUGCAAGUCGAGCGAACAGAUGAGAAGCUUGCUCCUCUGACGUUAGCGGCGGACGGGUGAGUAACACGUGGAUAACCUACCUAUAAGACUAGGAUAACUUCGGGAAACCGGAGCUAAUACCGGAUAAUAUUUUGAACCGCAUGGUUCAAUAGUGAAAGACGGUUUUGCUGUCACUUAUAGAUGGAUCCGCGCCGCAUUAGCUAGUUGGUAAGGUAACGGCUUACCAAGGCAACGAUGCAUAGCCGACCUGAGAGGGUGAUCGGCCACACUGGAACUGAGACACGGUCCAGACUCCUACGGGAGGCAGCAGUAGGGAAUCUUCCGCAAUGGGCGAAAGCCUGACGGAGCAACGCCGCGUGAGUGAUGAAGGUCUUCGGAUCGUAAAACUCUGUUAUUAGGGAAGAACAAAUGUGUAAGUAACUGUGCACGUCUUGACGGUACCUAAUCAGAAAGCCACGGCUAACUACGUG